rnacentral:rRNA from 1 species
AUGGACUCCAGAAUGGCUUGUUAUUUCGCCAUCUUCGUCGCUUGGACAACCGCGAACUCCGGCGUGCUGUCCUUCAUGGCAAAGCCCGCAACCGGCGCCGACUCCUCCAUGUCAUCCUUCUCCGGAUCCUUCGCGUCCUCCUCCUCCAGAUCCGCCACCUCCAUGAGAACCGGCUGUUGCUCCCCCUCCUCUUCCUCUCCUCCAGCUCUGACGAGUCUGGAGGCAGGUCGGCUGCUAUGCGGGCGCCGCGCCUCACCCGGAUCUCCUCCAGCAUCUGGAAGCGGCGCUCCGGCGUUAGUGUAG